GCCGGGCCCAGUGGUACAGGCCUGUAAUCCCAGUGGCUUAGGAGGCUGAGGCAGGAGGAUCUUGGGUUCAAAGCCAGUGUCAGUAAAAGUGAGGCUCUAUGUAACUCAGUGAGACCCUGUUUCUA
rnacentral:sRNA from 1 species